CAGCAGCCGCGGUAAUACGUAGGUCCCGAGCGUUGUCCGGAUUUAUUGGGCGUAAAGCGAGCGCAGGCGGUUAGAUAAGUCUGAAGUUAAAGGCUGUGGCUUAACCAUAGUACGCUUUGGAAACUGUUUAACCUGAGUGCAAGAGGGAAGAGUGGAAUUCCAUGUGUAGCGGUGAAAUGCGUAGAUAUAUGGAGGAACACCGGUGGCGAAAGCGGCUCUCUGGCUUGUAACUGACGCUGAGGCUCGAAAGCGUGGGGAGCAAACAGGAUUAGAUACCCCGGUAGUCCCUGUCUCUUAUACC
rnacentral:rRNA from 1 species